CCUACGGGGGGCAGCAGUGGGGAAUAUUGCACAAUGGGGGGAACCCUGAUGCAGCAACGCCGCGUGAAGGAAGAAGGUUUUCGGAUCGUAAACUUCUAUCAAUAGGGAAGAAAGAAAUGACGGUACCUAAAUAAGAAGCCCCGGCUAACUACGUGCCAGCAGCCGCGGUAAUACGUAGGGGGCAAGCGUUAUCCGGAAUUACUGGGUGUAAAGGGAGCGUAGGCGGCAUGAUAAGUUAGAUGUGAAAGCCCGGGGCUUAACCCCGCGGAUUGCAUUUAAAACUAUCAAGCUAGAGUACAGGAGAGGAAAGCGGAAUUCCUAGUGUAGCGGUGAAAUGCGUAGAUAUUAGGAAGAACACCAGUGGCGAAGGCGGCUUUCUGGACUGAAACUGACGCUGAGGCUCGAAAGCGUGGGGAGCGAACAGGAUUAGAUACCCUAGUAGUC
rnacentral:rRNA from 1 species